AAUGGGCGAAAGCCUGACGCAGCGACGCCGCGUGAGGGAUGACGGCCUUCGGGUUGUAAACCUCUUCAGCAGGGACGAAGCGAAAGUGACGGUACCUGCAGAAGAAGCACCGGCCAACUACGUGCCAGCAGCCGCGGUAAUACGUAGGGUGCAAGCGUUGUCCGGAAUUAUUGGGCGUAAAGAGCUCGUAGGCGGUCUGUCGCGUCGGCUGUGAAAACCCGGGGCUCAACCCCGGGCCUGCAGUCGAUACGGGCAGACUAGAGUGCGGUAGGGGAGACUGGAAUUCCUGGUGUAGCGGUGAAAUGCGCAGAUAUCAGGAGGAACACCGGUGGCGAAGGCGGGUCUCUGGGCCGUAACUGACGCUGAGGAGCGAAAGCGUGGGGAGCGAACAGGAUUAGAUACCCUGGUAGUCCACGCCGUAAACGUUGGGCGCUAGGUGUCGGGGACCUUCCACGUCCUCGGUGCCGCAGCUAACGCAUUAAGCGCCCCGCCUGGGGAGUACGGCCGCAAGGCUA
rnacentral:rRNA from 1 species